UGUGUGGGCUCCCAGGUUUAUGAGAAUAACAGGUUAACUCGAUAGUAUUCAGGGACCCUGUUUUCUCAGUUGAGACAGGUAAAACCUGAGUGAAGUAAAUUGAGGUAAGGUUUAUAAUCUGUGUAGAAAAGCUACUUGGGAAAGGAAUAAAUGUAUUUUUAGUGGCAGCCAUGAGAGAACAGCUCCCUCCUAGGACUCAUGACUGGUCACGGCAGAGAAGGCAGGCACAGCAAGACAGAGGUUACAAGGACUUUGCUUUUUAAAAUCGAAAACAUGGAGCGAAUGAAGCAACUGGAGGUCCAUCUGUGCAGGAGGAGGGUUGACUAAAAGGUAAUUUUUAAAUUUGUCUACUUUAACCAUGGCUAAACAUUUACUGCCCUGCUUAAAGGGAUUUAGGAAACUGCUACUUUGUAGCUGAUUAUCUUAGUUUAGAAAGUUCCAAGAGAAUCAGCAGACACCCUGGUAGACAAGAGUCAAGCAUAGUAACACACUCCUGUGAUCCUACUGAUCAAAACUAAGGCAGGAAGAUUGCAAGUUUAAGGCCAGCCUGGGCCAUAGAAUGGUACAGUUUGACACAGCCCCAAGGCUGGUGUUGAUCUUUGGUACCAGCUGGUAGUGCUAUUUUGCAAAACUGUAGAGACUUCAGGUGGGACUGGAUCUGGAAGUAGGCCUCUGAAGCCAAGACUUUGCAGAUCUUGUCCAGGGCCCCUUUCUUGGGAGCAGGCCCUUGCAGAGGCUCCCUGCAAGCACAUGGGACCUAAAGACUAUUUAUGGACCCUUUGAAAACGUGAACCAAAAAAACAAUUCUCAGGCCACGCUUGGUGGUACAUGCUUUUAAUUGCAGCAAGCAGAUCUCUAUGAAUUGCAAGCCAGCCUAUUCGCCAUAGCAAGUUCAAGGCCAGUCACGGCAACAGAGAGAGACCCUGUGCUGAGAGAGAAAAACAACAGCAAACAUAGUUCUUCCCUCAUUUUGAUCAGAACAAUGAGAAAAGCAAUCACAGGUAGCAAAACCAUCUCAACAAACCUAAUAAAUGUGUCAACAGAAGUAUUACAGCUGAGGGUGUCACAGCUCUACCAUGAGCUACAAAGUGGCUCAGCCAAUGAAUGACUUCCGAGCCUUAAGGAAUUUUUGGAGUCUUGUUGACCUCCAGAGCUCAGGGAACUUAUUGCAGGUCAGCAGUGUUGCCAUUUGGGGGCUCUACCCAACUCCUGCGGUUUACUGAUGCCUCAGACAUUGAGGCAGGAUAUUUAGUGUGUCCUUGCCCACCCGUCAGCUCGACAUUGUUGGCUUGAAAGCUUGUCUGGUUUUUAACCUUGUCAUGAUUUGAGUGUCUCCUUGCUUAAAGUGAAACUCUCCAAGUAGAAUGGUAAAUAAGUGGUUUCAAAAUAUCUUUACAAUUCAUUUGACCUUCCUAAUACAUUUUUCAUAUAUUGUCUGCGCUUCUUGGCUGAUAGGAAGCAAUUCAUAUUCCUUGUAGCUGAAUAAUAAAAAAAAAAUGUUUUGUCGCUG
rnacentral:lncRNA from 1 species